UAUGUGAGGGAUAGAGUAAAGGAUUUUUUGGAUUUUAUAACAUUAUAGGUUUUUCAAUGGCAUACCCCUGUAUAAAGCUCCUAAAUCGCUUGUAAUUUUCAAAUCAUGGAGUAUUUUUGACUUCCGAAAUGUCUUGGAAAGAUGUCUUUAAAGUGUUUCUUCAGCAGAAUAAUACAAGAAAUAUAAAACAAGAAAUAAAACAUUAAUUACAUAAUAGAAUAACCCACUGAAGAUAUGAAGCCUGUCUUUCCCUCACAGCCUCGCUAAAAAUCGAAGAUGACGCUGCUGUGCUGGAACGUCGGACUCGGUUCACCAAUUUGAUUGAACAAGAGGCAGCAUUCAUGCUAAUAUUUCCUCCAAACACAAGUUUCUUACAUUGAAGAGCAAAGACAGACCAUCAUCAAGCUUGGGUCACCAGGGAGACCAGGCGCUGGGGGCCCCCCUGCAAAGCUGCAUAGACAGGCCCCUCAGCAACUGAGAAGCUAGGAGAACAUCUGAAGAAACAUCUAAAAGAGUCUUUGUUGAGUAUCCGGCCCAUUGCUGGGAACGAUCCUUCGUUCUUUUGAUGAGUGAUCAGCCAGGAUUUGGCUGAACGUAAUUCUUC